AACGGCGUACUUUUUGGCCAUCGAGAUCUCGUUUCAGUUUCUGCAGCCCUAUCGAUCCGACGAUCUCAAGAUCGGCGUGGCGUGGCGUAGCGUAGCGUAGCGGUCGGGAAGAUGGCGGCGGCCGGGCGGCAUCUGGGAAUGACAGCGGUGGCCGUGCUCGCGGUGGCGGCCUCUCUCUUCGGCCUAUCGGACGCCUCCGCCGCCAAGAAGGUGGCUUUCGUCAAGAAGACCGUGUCCUCCCACGAUAUCGUCAUCUUCUCCAAGUCCUACUGUCCGUACUGCAGAAAAGCUAAAGCUGUUUUCAAGGAACUAAAGAAGGAACCUUAUGUUGUGGAGUUGGAUCAGAGAGAGGACGGAUAUGAAAUUCAAGAUGCCUUGUCUGAGAUGGUUGGGAGGCGUACAGUGCCUCAAGUGUUUAUCCAGGGAAAGCACUUGGGUGGCUCAGAUGAUACUGUUGAAGCAUAUGAAAGCGGAAAGCUUCUGACACUUAUUGGUAUUGACUCAAAAGAUGAUCUUUAAACGAUAUUGUGUAUCUCAUUCAUCAAUCAAUCGGGAGAUGGAUGGGCUGAAUCUUUCAGAAGAUGCAAACUAUGAAUCACUUGCAUGUUUACGUGGCCAUAUCACAGUGAACCAUAGAACUUUGGGAUAUAUACACUGCUGGUUUUUUAUAUUUAUUAGCUUGAUCUAGAGAAUCUAGAUGUUCGUUGAAUUACUAGUGUUGUUGGCAUAAUCAUAUUGUUAUAAAAAGUUAUCUUUGAUCCUUGUACAAUUUUA